rnacentral:rRNA from 1 species
UACAGGGGGUGCAAACGUUGCUCGGAAUCAUUGGGCGUAAAGCGCACGUAGGCGGUUCGUUAUGUCGGAUGUGAAAGCCCUUGGCUUAACCGAGGAAGUGCAUCCGAAACUGGCGAGCUAGAGUACGAAAGAGGAUCGCGGAAUUCCCGGUGUAGAGGUGAAAUUCGUAGAUAUCGGAAGGAACACCUGUGGCGAAAGCGGCUCACUGGACCAUAACUGACACUGAGGCACGAAAGCGUGGGGAGCAAACAGG